UACGAAGGGGGGCUAGCGUUAUUCGGAUUUACUGGGCGUAAAGCGCACGUAGGCGGAUUGGUCAGUUAGGGGUGAAAUCCUGGGGCUCAACCCCAGAACUGCCUUUGAUACUGGCGAUCUCGAGUCCGGAAGAGGUGAGUGGAACUCCUAGUGUAGAGGUGGAAUUCGUAGAUAUUAGGAAGAACACCAGUGGCGAAGGCGGCUCACUGGUCCGGUACUGACGCUGAGGUGCGAAAGCGUGGGGAGCAAACAGG
rnacentral:rRNA from 1 species